UACGAAGGGGGCUAGCGUUGCUCGGAAUCACUGGGCGUAAAGGGUGCGUAGGUGGAUCUUUAAGUCAGAGGUGAAAUCCUGGAGCUCAACUCCAGAACUGCCUUUGAUACUGAGGAUCUUGAGUUCGGGAGAGGUGAGUGGAACUGCGAGUGUAGAGGUGAAAUUCGUAGAUAUUCGCAAGAACACCAGUGGCGAAGGCGGCUCACUGGCCCGAUACUGACACUGAGGCACGAAAGCGUGGGGAGCAAACAGG
rnacentral:rRNA from 1 species